AUUUCUGAGCAAAAAAAAUAAAGAAAUGCUUAAACAUUUUCAUUGUUGGUAUAAAUAGACUGUAAAAAAACACAAGGACAUAGGCUGAUUGUAAUUUAACACAUCUGUAUUCCCACGUUUUUCCCAGCCUAAUAGGACCCGACAUAUACCACCUGUAAGCAUGGUUUGAAAGAAUAAGGUUUUACUGGUCUUCUUGCAGUGAAUGUGCAGACUACAAAUGAAUUUGCAAUUAUUUCCAGCCCCGACCACCCGCACAAGAAAAAAAAAAGGUCCCUGCUGAAUCUAGUCGAUGAUCCCUGCUCUAGUUGUUCUAAUCAAGUCGAUGAUCCUGCCUUAGUUGUUCUAAUCUAACAGUUUAUGCCUGCUCUCGUUGUUCUAAUUCUGUAGAUUAUCCCUGCUCUAGUUGUUCUAAUCUAGUAGAUGAUCCUGCUCUCGUGUUCUAAUCUAAAGUUGAUGCCUGCUCUAGUUGUUCUUUAAUCUAGUAGGCUGAUCCCUGCUCUAGUUGUUCUAAUCUAGAGAUGAUUCCCUGCUCUAGUUGUUCUAAUCUAGUAGAUGAUCCCUGCUCUAGUUGUUCUACUCUCGUAGAUGAUCCCUGCUCUAGUUGUUCUAAUCUAGUAGAUGAUCCCUGCUCUAGUUGUUCUAAUCUAGUAGAUGAUCCCUGCUCUAGUUGUUCUAAUCUAGUAGAUGAGCCCUGCUCUAGUUGUGUUAUAAUCUAGUAGAUGAUCCCUGCUCUAGUUGUUCUAACUAGUAUGAUCCCUGCUC
rnacentral:lncRNA from 1 species